UACAGAGGUGGCGAGCGUUGUUCGGAUUUACUGGGCGUAAAGGGUGCGUAGGCGGUUUUGUAUGUCGGAUGUGAAAGCCCACGGCUCACCCGUGGAACUGCAUCCGAAACUACAGAACUAGAGUACAGUAGAGGUAAGUGGAAUUCUUGGAGUAGCGGUGAAAUGCGUAGAUAUCAAGAAGAACACCGGUGGCGAAGGCGACUUACUGGAAUGAUACUGACGCUGAUGCACGAAAGCCAGGGGAGCGAAGAGG
rnacentral:rRNA from 1 species